UACGUAGGGGGCUAGCGUUAUCCGGAUUUACUGGGCGUAAAGGGUGCGUAGGCGGUCUUUCAAGUCAGGAGUGAAAGGCUACGGCUCAACCGUAGUAAGCUCUUGAAACUGUAAGACUUGAGUGCAGGAGAGGAGAGUGGAAUUCCUAGUGUAGCGGUGAAAUGCGUAGAUAUUAGGAGGAACACCAGUUGCGAAGGCGGCUCUCUGGACUGUAACUGACGCUGAGGCACGAAAGCGUGGGGAGCGAACAGGAUUAGAUACCCUGGUAGUCCCU
rnacentral:rRNA from 1 species